UACGAAGGGGGCUAGCGUUGCUCGGAAUCACUGGGCGUAAAGCGCACGUAGGCGGCUUCUUAAGUCAGGGGUGAAAUCCUGGAGCUCAACUCCAGAACUGCCUUUGAUACUGGGAAGCUUCGAGUCCGGAAGAGGCGAGUGGAAUUCCUGGUGUAGCGGUGGAAUGCGCAGAUAUCAGGAGGAACACCAAUAGCGAAGGCAGCUCGCUGGGACGGUACUGACGCUAAGGCGCGAAAGCGUGGGGAGCGAACAGG
rnacentral:rRNA from 1 species